GGUUUGAUUCUGGCUCAGAUUGAACGCUGGCGGGAUGCUUUACACAUGCAAGUCGAACGGCAGCACGGACUUCGGUCUGGUGGCGAGUGGCGAACGGGUGAGUAAUGUAUCGGAACGUGCCUAGUAGCGGGGAUAACUACGCGAAAGCGUAGCUAAUACCGCAUACGCCCUUCGGGGGAAAGCGGGGGACCUUCGGGCCUCGCACUAUUAGGAGCGGCCGAUAUCGGAUUAGCUAGUUGGUGGGGUAACGGCUCACCAAGGCGACGAUCCGUAGCUGGUUUGAGAGGACGACCAGCCACACUGGGACUGGAGACACGGCCCAGACUCCUACGGGAGGCAGCAGUGGGGAAUUUUGACAAUGGGUUCCGAUCCAGCCAUCCCGCGUGCGAUGAAGGCCUUUCGGGCGUAAAGCACUUGCAGGAAAGAAACGGCACGGGAUAAUACCCUGCAACCGACGGUACUCGCAGAAUAAGCACCGGCUACUACGUGCCAGCAGCCGCGGUAAUACGCAGGGUGCAAGCGUUAAUCGGAAUUACUGGGCGUAAAAGCGUGCGCAGGCGGUUCGGAAAGAAAGAUGUGAAAUCCCAGGAGCUUAACUUUGGAACUGCAUUUUUAACUACCGAGCUAGAGUGUGUCAGAGGGAGGUGGAAUUCCGCGUGUAGCAGUGAAAUGCGUAGAUAUGCGGAGGAACACCGAUGGCGAAGGCAGCCUCCUGGGAUAACAUCACUGACGCUCAUGCACGAAAGCGUGGGGAGCAAACAGGCUAGAUACCCUGGUAGUCCACGCCCUAAACGAUGUCAACUAGCUGUUGGGGCCUUCGCCCGGUAGCGCAGCUAACGCGCGAAGUUGACCGCCUGGGGAGUACGGUCGCAAGAUUAAAACUCAAAGGAAUUGACGGGGACCCGCACAAGCGGUGGAUGAUGUGGAUUAAUUCGGAUGCAACGCGAAAACCUUACCCACCCUUGACAUGUCUGGAAUCCCGAAGAGAUUUGGGAGUGCUCGCAAGAGAACCGGAACACAGGUGCUGCAUGGCUGUCGUCAGCUCGUGUCGUGAGAUGUUGGGUUAAGUCUCGCAACGAGCGCAACCCUUGUCAUUAGUUGCUACGAAAGGGCACUCUAAUGAGACUGCCGGUGACAAACCGGAGGAAGGUGGGGAUGACGUCAAGUCCUCAUGGCCCUGCGGCAGGGCUUCACACGUCAUACAAUGGUCGGGACAGAGGGUCGCCAACCCGCGAGGGGGAGCCAAUCCCAGAAACCCGAUCGUAGUCCGGAUCGCAGUCUGCAACUCGACUGCGUGAAGUCGGAAUCGCUAGUAAUCGCGGAUCAGCAUGUCGCGGUGAAUACGUUCCCGGGUCUUGUACACACCGCCCGUCACACCAUGGGAGGGUUUUACCAGAAGUAGUUAGCCUAACCGUAAGGAGGCGAUUACCACAGUGAGAUCUUAUGACUGGGGUGAAGUCGUAACAAGGUAG
rnacentral:rRNA from 1 species